rnacentral:rRNA from 1 species
UACAGAGGUGGCAAGCGUUGUUCGGAAUUACUGGGCGUAAAGGGCGCGUAGGCGGUCCCAUAAGUCCUGUGUGAAAUCCCCCGGCUCAACUGGGGAAUUGCACGGGAAACUGCGGGGCUUGAGUUCGGGAGAGGGAAGCGGAAUUCCGGGUGUAGCGGUGAAAUGCGUAGAUAUCGGGAGGAACACCUGUGGCGAAAGCGGCGCACUGGACCACAACUGACG